rnacentral:misc_RNA from 1 species
CCGAAUUGUCAACAUGAAGUUGUUGCUGGCCCUCAGAUGGGGGCAUGUGCACACUCUGUUUACACAUCCACUCACACCUGUGCACUCUCUGUAGUUCUAUGGUUUGGGGGCUCGGUCCCCCUGCUGUGGUUCUGCGUAUUUACACACACACACUGUAAUAAAGUCUCAUGGAAUGUACGCCGCGUUUAACGCAAUGCAAUA